AUUGAACGCUGGCGGCAGGCCUAACACAUGCAAGUCGAGCGGAUGAGGAAAGCUUGCUUUUCGAUUCAGCGGCGGACGGGUGAGUAAUGCCUAGGAAUCUGCCUGUUAGUGGGGGAUAACUCGGGGAAACUCGGGCUACUACCGCAUACGUCCUCCGGGAGAAAGUGGGGGAUCUUCGGACCUCACGCUAACAGAUGAGCCUAGGUCGGAUUAGCUAGUAGGUGAGGUAAUGGCUCACCUAGGCGACGAUCCGUAACUGGUCUGAGAGGAUGAUCAGUCACACUGGAACUGAGACACGGUCCAGACUCCUACGGGAGGCAGCAGUGGGGAAUAUUGGACAAUGGGCGAAAGCCUGAUCCAGCCAUGCCGCGUGUGUGAAGAAGGUCUUCGGAUUGUAAAGCACUUUAAGUUGGGAGGAAGGGUAUUCACCUAAUACGUGGGUACUUUGACGUUACCAACAGAAUAAGCACCGGCUAACUCUGUGCCAGCCGCCGCGGUAAAAC
rnacentral:rRNA from 1 species